rnacentral:rRNA from 1 species
CCUACGGGUGGCAGCAGUAGGGAAUCUUUCACAAUGGGCGAAAGCCUGAUGGAGCAACGCCGCGUGCAGGAUGAAGGCCUUCGGGUUGUAAACUGCUUUUAUAAGCGAGAAAUAUGAUGGUAACUUAUGAAUAAGGAUCGGCUAACUACGUGCCAGCAGCCGCGGUCAUACGUAGGAUCCGAGCAUUAUCCGGAGUGACUGGGUGUAAAGAGUUGCGUAGGUGGCAUAAUAAGUAGCUAGUGAAAUCUGGUGGCUCAACCAUUCAGACUAUUAGCUAAACUGUUAAGCUCGAGACCGUUAGAGGUAACUGGAAUUUCUGGUGUAGGAGUGAAAUGCGUAGAUAUUAGAAGGAACACCAAUAGCGUAGGCAGGUUACUGGGACGGUUCUGACACUAAGGCACGAAAGCGUAGGGAGCAAACGGGAUUAGAUACCCGGGUAGUC